rnacentral:tRNA from 1 species
GCCUAGCUGGCUCAGUUGGUAGAGCACAUGACUGUUAAUCACGGGGUCAUGAGUUUGAGCCCCACAUUGGGUG